rnacentral:lncRNA from 1 species
GUACACUAUCUAGGCUAUAUAUUACAAUCCAAAUUGAGCUAUUGUUCCUAUUUAGUAUACAACUAUAUCUUAUUAAGAGCACACGUUCUUCCACUUGGCUUUUUUGCAUUUUUGCAAGCUCUAUUCAAAAUAAUCGGACGACUCUGAUUGCGUCUUCUAGUAAUUGAUCUUGUGGGCUGGGCAGCUCUACAUGUCCCAUUAACUUUAUCAUAUAAUUGAGAGACUAAAUCUUUAGUCUCUUGUACUUGUUUGCAUUUCUGAGCCUUCUUCUUGCUUUCAUCAAAACUCUCUCUUCCAAACUUUUCCAUUGUUUUGUUUUCUUUUGUGAAUUCUUGAGAGGAGAACAAUGAGAAUGGAAAUUCAAGGUUUUAAUUUCAACACCUCCUCAAGUUGGAGGGGAGAUAAGCAACCCCCAACUUGCCAAGAAUUAAAUGAUGGGAAGGACCAGACAAAGGUUUUUCUAAAUAGAUCGUCUUGUUGUGAGGAUGAAGGAACAAACGAGAGAGAGAUCAAUCAAAAAUAAAUUGAUGUCUAGCAAUAGCUAUUUUUAGCUCUGAUACCGUAUAAAAAUUUAAAGAAUGGAUUUAGGAAAUUUUUUUUUGUAUUUUCAUUGCCGUAGUAUAAUGUAUCUAUGCAAGUAUUUUGUUAAAAACAAAAAAGAAAAUCUGCUAUAUUUGUACAUUAUUUAUUGACUGUUCACUAUAAUUCAAAUUCAACUAUUGUGCCUAUUUAGUAUACAGCUAAUGUACUGAUUGUAUAAUUUUUUUAUAUAUCAUUUAGUUUUUGUAAUGGAUCAGUUUGAUCAAACGGUUGUGAUGAAGUAGCAAUAUCUGAUCUAGGAGCAAACAUUUCCAUUUGGCUUGUUUGUAUUGUUGCAAGCUCUAUUCAAAAUAAUUA